CACCAGUUGAGAUACAGCACGUGGUAGAGACACGACUGCAAUUACAUCAAAGAGGAUGGAAUCCAGGGCUGUGGCUCUCAAACUUGAGUGCGUCAGAAUGACCCAGGGGGCUUGCUGAAACAGGUUGCUGGGUCUGACGGCUCUGAGGGAUCCCUGAACCUAGCAGGGCGAAAGCCGGGGCACCUUGUCAAAUGCGCAGGGAGCAGUGUGACCUGAACCAUGGCCCCUGCCGCGGAGUGAAACGAAAGAUUACUCUAGCUGCUGGGUGGAGAAAGAAAUGUGAUGGAAAGACCGGGGUGAGAGACGCUGGUUAAGAAGGCUGCUGUGGGCAACCUGCGGGCAUCCAGGUCAGAAUUCCUGAAAGGGCUCCAGUUCUAGCUCCAGCCCCAGACUUAGGAGUCAUCAGCAGAGAGCAAAUAAUUUCAGCUAGAGGAUUGACGGGCUCUCCCAGGAAGAGGGAUAAAGCAUAAGAAGAAAACCGGGCCUGGGACAGAAGCCCAGAGGGCCGAGCGAAGAGCUGGUCCGAGAAGGAAGAGGAAAACUGUACUGUGUUCAGAGCUGUGGAUAAGUCGGCAAGUCCUUCAGGUUCUCAGGCAGCACGAACAGAUACAACCUCACUCACAUCACAAAACCGUGGGAGCACAACCUACCCCAGUGGUUCUCAAAGUGUGGUCCCCUGACCAGCAGCAUCCGCUGCACCCAGGAUGUUGUUAGAAAUAUAAAUUCUCAGGCCCCACCCUGGACUCAGUGAAGCUGAAGCUUUGGGGUGCGGCUCAGCAAUCUGAGUUUUAACAAGCCCUCC
rnacentral:lncRNA from 1 species